rnacentral:lncRNA from 1 species
UCGGCGAGCUGAACGGGCUGCCGAGCUUUCGAAGGCCGAUCUCCCGCAGCGUUGGAACCCGGAGAACCGCGCCAUGGCGCUCGCUGAGAAUCCACCGGCUGCCGGGCUACUGAAAGGGCCCUCUGCUCGGAGGACAUGUUGCGGGCCCUGUGUAAUGCCCUCGGCGCCUGUGCGACUUCAGGGGGUCUGCGUUUCACGGCCCCGUUACCAGCUGGGAAAUUCUCCAUGGAGGGGACGACAUCCUGUCCAGCACCAGCUUCACCAUCUGGGACCAAGUGCACGAGGGGUCGCACUGCAAGCAGAUGAAAGGAGGGCACUGCGACCUUGAGGUCAAGCUAGUACAUCUACCAUUACAUUCCUGAAUGGAUGCCAAUUGGUACUGAUGACCUUAUGAAGGUGAAACGUCCCUGGAUCUAAAGGGAAAAUUUGACUGAAGGCGAGCUGAAGUUGUUUCUGACUUUAUCCUCUUAUGACUUGAAAGUAAUCUGCCUACUUCAUGAAUAUUGAAGAUGCAGAAUUUGUUUCCGUAACUGUCCCACUUCAACGUAAUGUGCACAUUGAAACCUGUUCCUUUUCUUUUUCUGCUUUCCGGCGAGAAAAAAAAGCCAACGAAUCUCCCUUUUCCUUCUCGCAAUGGGGAGGUGUGCAAGACUGAUUGCAUAUUUUAUAUAAGCAAUCAGUUUCAUAAGUGAAUGAAGAUAAAAGCAGAAUACAUGUUCACAGAUUAUUUGUGAAUUCUUAGACUUGCUGAAGUGAGUAGUUUAUGUUCGAGUCAUGUAAUUAUGAAGUCAAAACCAGAUUUAGUGCAUUUUUAAGAAGCCUUUUAGACCUGAGAGUUCUGUUUUGACUCAGCAAUACACAACUCACCUUUGUUAUCCCUAUAGCACAGCCGAAACUAUAAACAUGAGCAUGUUGCCUGACCAAUGCUUGAACUGCCGUGAAAUCGACGAAGUCCCUAUCCUUCGAGAACAAGUGUCAACGGGGAAUAGUCGAAAGACCAGGGUCAAGUAUGCACACACAUACUUGAUUUCAAGCUUGCAGAUUGAAAUAAUUGUUUAUUGAAUCAUAUCCAUUCUUAAACCUGUUUGAGAUUGUAUUGGUUCAUAUUCACAGUAUAUUUAUUUUUCAUUUCAGCAAGGAAUAAUUUAGAGACAGAUGUUGGUGUUCAGGCGUGAUGCUUUUAUUUUUGUAACAUGCAAGAGGGCAAAAAAUUAGAUUCGGCUUUGUAAACUGAUUUUUUUAUGUAUUCUUCCAAACAGCAUAGCAAAGAAUAAUAUAAGGGCUACAGCUGUGAGAGUUGCUACACCUGGCAUCUCAUUUGUUUUAUAGCGUGUACAGGUGAGACACUAUACUCUGUUUCUCGGUAAAUUGGCAAACAUUGUGACCCAAUAAGAGCAUCGGAGCCAGGCACUUGACAACACUCCACGGUCGAGUCCUCGUUAUUGCCACAGCAAGAGCGCCAUCUGCGACAAAACAUAGUUCUAGGCUUUGUUUUUUCUUCUUCUUUUAGUAGUGUUGCCGUCGGAUUCUUCGGACCGCAACACUACACGACACUGAAGAAAGACGAAGACACAUGUUACUGAUUAGCGACACUUAAUAUAGAUCAACACUUUUUUGAGAAAAACAUGGCUUGUGAUCGAAGUUCAAACAAUCGUAGCCGUGAAUCGACCACUUCCGCUCAAAACAUCGCCCUAGCAUUAGACAGCCGGUUCUGGCGGGUGGUCCUUGCAUUUGGCGCGGUGACACGAACGCUCCUGUGACAUGCGUCCAUGUGCCUCGCUCCGACAUUCUUACUGGGUCGCAGAAGCCGUAGCCUCCACAGUUCACCAAACUAUCGUGAAACAGAAUGUAAACUAAGUUGCCUGCGUGCUAAUGAAAGUAGCCUUGCCAGCAUCAUGUAUUAUGUAUGAAACACUGUAUACUUCGAGAAAACAAAUAAAGCCAUUCA